ACAAUGAAAAGAUCUCUUUCGCCAGGGUGUUUUGAUGAAAAUAUUUUAUAUUUUUAAAGUUUUUAUUGUUUAAGUAUUAAAAAGAAUUUAUUUUUUAUAUUUUACUGAGGGGGAUAUCAGUGAAAUAUUUUAAAUAUUAUUCAUUUUAAUAAAAUAUAUAGUACUUUUUGUAUCAUGGUUAUUUAAUUUUUAAAAAGUUUUUUGUUUCCCUAAAAUAAAAGAGUUAAAUAAAUUGUUUGUUUAAUGUUGAAAUAUUAAGGCAAAAAUUUAUUUAGUAUUGAUAUAAUUCCGAUUUUAUUAAUUUUUGGUUUAGUAAAAUGUUUACUUUGGGCUUUUAAGUUUAUAUAUUUUUCAAUAUUUAAAGUUUAAAAUCGAAAUUUCCUUUAGGAUUAGCUUAAGGAUUAAAUAUUUAUAAAGCUAAAAUGGUUUAAUAAAAUAGAAAAGUUUAGAAGCGUCUAUUGGUGGGUUAUACCUUAUUUAUUUUUUUAGAAAAUUUAUUUAGCUUUUAUUAAAAUAUUUUUUUGCUCAAAUUAUUUAAUCUUAGUGUUACUGAAUAAAUUAUUAGUUAAAUAAUUAGUUUAGGUUAUAGUUAAAAUUAAUUUAUAAAUUCGACAGAUCGCUUAAGACUGUUUAUCAAAAACAUUUCUUUUUGUUUACAUGAAAAGUAAAGCCUGCCCACUGAAGUUUGAAGGGCCGCGGUAUAUUGACCGUGCUAAGGUAGCAUAAUCAUUAGUCUUUUAAUUAAGGAAUAGAAUGAAUGGUUAAACUUAGGUGUAUUGUGUGAGUUAAUUAUUUUUGAAUUUUAAAUUUAAGUGAAAAUGCUUAAUUUUGGUAAAAAGACGAUAAGACCCUAUAGAGCUUGAUUUUGAAAAUUAAUGUCAAUUAUAGUUGUGGGGAGAUUUUAUUUUUUAAAGUUUAAUUGGGGCAAUUAAAGAAUAGAAAAAACUUCUUUGAAUUCUUAGAUCUUAAAAUUUAAAAAUGAAAAAGUUACCUUAGGGAUAACAGCGUAAUGUUUAUUGAGAGUUCUUAUCGACAUAAUUGUUUGCGACCUCGAUGUUGAAUUAAAAUUUCUGUUUGGGGCAGUUCUUAUAAUAGGUGGUCUGUUCGACCAUUAAAAUUUUACAUGAUUUGAGUUCAAAUCGGUGCGAGCCAGGUUGGUUUCUAUCUUUUACAUCUAAUUAAUCUUUCUAGUACGCAAGGACCGUUAUGAGGUAAUUUUUUU
rnacentral:rRNA from 1 species